rnacentral:rRNA from 1 species
AGCUUCGAUCCUGGCUCAGAUUGAACGCUGGCGGGAUGCUUUACACAUGCAAGUCGAACGGCAGCACGACUUCGGUCUGGUGGCGAGGUGAACGGGUGAGUAAUGUAUCGGAACGUGCCUAGUAGCGGGGGAUAACUACGCGAAAGCGUAGCUAAUACCGCAGCACGCCUUCGGGAAAGCGGGGACCUUUCGGGCCUCGCACUAUUAGAGCGGCCGAUAUCGGAUUAGCUAGUUGGUGGGGUAACGGCUCACACCAAGGCGACGAUCCGUAGCUGGUUUGAGAGGACGACCAGCCACACUGGGACUGAGACACGGCCCAGACUCCCUACGGAGGCAGCAGUGGGGAAUUUUGGACAAUGGGGAAACCCUGAUCCAGCCAUCCGCGUGUGCGAUGAAGGCCUUCGGGUUGUGGUAAAGCACUUUUGGCAGGAAAGAAACGGCACGGGAUAAUACCCCGCAACUGACGGUACCUGCAGAAUAAGCACCGGCUAACUACGUGCCAGCAGCCGCGGUAAUACGUAGGGUGCAAGCGUUAAUCGGACUGCUACUGGCGGAAGCUAUGGUAUGCAGGCGGUUCGGAAGAAAGAUGUGAAAUCCCAGGAGCUUAACUUUGGAACUGCAUUUUUAACUACUCGAGCUAGAGUGUGUCAGAGGGAGGUGGAAUUCCGCGUGUAGCAGUGAAAUGCGUAGAUAUGCGGAGGAACACCGAUGGCGAAGGCAGCUUUCCUGGGAUAACACUGAUGCUCAUGCACGAAAGCGUGGGGAGCAAACAGAUUAGAUACCCCGGUAGUCCACGCUCCCAAACGAUGUCAACUAGUUGCUGUGGGGCUUUCGGGCUCGGUAGCGCAGCUAACGCGUGAAGUUGACCGCCUGGGGAGUACGGUCGCAAGAUUAAAACUCAAAGGAAUUCGACGGGGACCCGCACAAGCGGUGGAUGAUGUGGAUUAAUUCGAUGCAACGCGAAAAACCUUACCUACCCUUGACAUGUCUGGAAUCCCGAAGAGAUUUGGGAGUGCUCGCAAGAGAACUGAACACAGGUGCUGCAUGGCUGUCGUCAGCUCGUGUCGUGAGAUGCUGGGUUAAGUCCCGCAACGAGCGCAACCCUUGUCAUUAGUUGCUACGAAAGGGCACUCUAAUGAGACUGCCGGUGACAAACCGAGGAAGGUGGGGAUGACGUCAAGUCCUCAUGGCCCUUAUGGGUAGGGCUUCAAUGUCAUACAAUGGUCGGGACAGAGGGUCGCCAACCCGCGAGGGGGAGCCAAUCCCAGAAACCCGAUCGUAGUCCGGAUCGCAGUCUGCAACUCGACUGCGUGAAGUCGGAAUCGCUAGUAAUCGCGGAUCAGCAUGUCGCGUGAAUACGUCUUCGGUCUUGUACACACCGCCCGUCACACCAUGGGAGUGGGUUUUACCAGAAGUAGUUAGCCCAACCGUAAGGAGGGCGAUUACCACGGUAGGAUUCAUGAUCAGUGGGAAGUCGUAACAAGUGUAG